UGGGGAAUUUUGGACAAUGGGCGAAAGCCUGAUCCAGCAAUGCCGCGUGUGUGAAGAAGGCCUUCGGGUUGUAAAGCACUUUUGUCCGGAAAGAAAUCCUUGGCUCUAAUACAGUCGGGGGAUGACGGUACCGGAAGAAUAAGCACCGGCUAACUACGUGCCAGCAGCCGCGGUAAUACGUAGGGUGCAAGCGUUAAUCGGAAUUACUGGGCGUAAAGCGUGCGCAGGCGGUUUGCUAAGACCGAUGUGAAAUCCCCGGGCUCAACCUGGGAACUGCAUUGGUGACUGGCAGGCUAGAGUAUGGCANGGAGGGGGGUAGAAUUCCACGUGUAGGCAGUGAAAUGCGUAGAGAUGUGGAGGAAUACCGAUGGCGAAGGCAGCCCCCUGGGCCAAUACUGACGCUCAUGCACGAAAGCGUGGGGGAGCAAAACAGGAUUAGAUACCCUGGUAGUCCACGCCCUAAACGAUGUCAACUAGUUGUUGGGGAUUCAUUUCCUUAGUAACGUAGCUAACGCGUGAAGUUGACCGCCUGGGGAGUACGGUCGCAAGAUUAAAACUCAAAUGAAUUGACGGGGUCAUAGCUGUUUCCU
rnacentral:rRNA from 1 species